UGGGGAAUCUUCCGCAAUGGGCGCAAGCCUGACGGAGCAACGCCGCGUGAGUGAAGAAGGUUUUCGGAUUGUAAAACUCUGUCCAAAGGGAAGAAACAAAUGACGGUACCUUUGGAGGAAGCCACGGCUAACUACGUGCCAGCAGCCGCGGUAAUACGUAGGUGGCGAGCGUUGUCCGGAAUUACUGGGUGUAAAGGGCGUGUAGGCGGGAAAGCAAGUCAGAUGUGAAAUACCGGGGCUUAACUCCGGGGCUGCAUCUGAAACUGUUUUUCUUGAGUGUCGGAGAGGAAAGCGGAAUUCCUAGUGUAGCGGUGAAAUGCGUAGAUAUUAGGAGGAACACCAGUGGCGAAGGCGGCUUUCUGGACGACAACUGACGCUGAGGCGCGAAAGCGUGGGGAGCAAACAGG
rnacentral:rRNA from 1 species